rnacentral:lncRNA from 1 species
GGUUGGGCAGUUGCUCCUCUGCUCUGCUCGAGCCUUGCUUGCAGCGAGCCUUCCUACUGGCUGCCGCACUGCCAUCGCCCUACACCUCCAUGGCUCCCUGCCACCUUCGUAGUGGUCGCCGCCAACCUCCUUGCAAGCUCGAGGAAACCUAUCUUUGGCCAAAUAUGGCGCUCCAACCUUCGUGUUGGCUGGAUCUGGUGGAUGGGAUGGCAGAGUGGAGCCAUUGUAGGGAGGGGGAUAGCACCAAAGGAUGAGGAGAGCGGAGGAGAUGGCGGCCGACAGUGUCGGCCCUCAAGCAGGAGCAGAAGAGAUGGUGUCCAUGUCCGCGCUCGGCCGCAAGAUAUUCCGAAAUUGAAUUCUAUUUCUGAAGAAAAUGUUGUUAACAAAAUUGUGGAGAUUCAAAUUAUUCAGCAGGAGACAAAAGACAAACUCUAUUUGAAACAUAAUUCUAGUGGAAUCUGCAACACCAAAAGUGCUUAUAAGGAGGUAGUUAAAAGAGAAAAUCAAAACACUAACCAGAUGUGGACAGUUGGAAUCUGA